AUUGAACGCUGGCGGCAGGCCUAACACAUGCAAGUCGAGCGGCAGCGGGAAAGUAGCUUGCUACUUUUGCCGGCGAGCGGCGGACGGGUGUGUAAUGCCUGGGAAAUUGCCCAGUCGAGGGGGAUAACAGUUGGAAACGACUGCUAAUACCGCAUACGCCCUACGGGGGAAAGCAGGGGACCUUCGGGCCUUGCGCGAUUGGAUAUGCCCAGGUGGGAUUAGCUAGUUGGUGAGGUAAUGGCUCACCAAGGCGACGAUCCCUAGCUGGUCUGAGAGGAUGAUCAGCCACACUGGAACUGAGACACGGUCCAGACUCCUACGGGAGGCAGCAGUGGGGAAUAUUGCACAAUGGGGAAACCCUGAUGCAGCCAUGCCGCGUGUGUGAAGAAGGCCUUCGGGUUGUAAAGCACUUUCAGCGAGGAGGAAAGGUUGAUGCCUAAUACGUAUCAACUGUGACGUUACUCGCAGAAGAAGCACCGGCUAACUCCGUGCCAGCCGCCGCCGUAAUAC
rnacentral:rRNA from 1 species